GGCCAGACUCCUACGGGAGGCAGCAGUGGGGAAUAUUGCACAAUGGGGGAAACCCUGAUGCAGCGACGCCGCGUGAGUGAAGAAGUAUUUCGGUAUGUAAAGCUCUAUCAGCAGGGAAGAAGUUGACGGUACCUGAGUAAGAAGCCCCGGCUAACUACGUGCCAGCAGCCGCGGUAAUACGUAGGGGGCAAGCGUUAUCCGGAAUUACUGGGUGUAAAGGGAGCGUAGACGGUGAAGUAAGUCUGGAGUGAAAGGCGGGGGCCCAACCCCCGGACUGCUCUGGAAACUAUUUGACUGGAGUGCAGGAGAGGUAAGCGGAAUUCCUAGUGUAGCGGUGAAAUGCGUAGAUAUUAGGAGGAACACCAGUGGCGAAGGCGGCUUACUGGACUGUAACUGACGUUGAGGCUCGAAAGCGUGGGGAGCAAACAGGAUUAGAUACCCGAGUAU
rnacentral:rRNA from 1 species